rnacentral:rRNA from 1 species
GUACAGGGGGGCAAGGCGUUGUUCGGAAUUACUGGGCGUAAGGGCUCGUAGGUGGCCGACUAAGUCAGACGUGAAAUCCCUCAGCUUAACUGGGGAACUGCGUCUGAUACUGGAUGGCUUGAGUUUGGGAGAGGGAUGCGGAAUUCCAGGUGUAGCGGUGAAAUGCGCAGAUAUCAGGAGGAACACCCGUAGCGAAGGCGGCACUCUGGGCCGAUACUGACACUGAGGAGCGAAAGCGUGGGGAGCGAACAGG